ensembl:lncRNA
GCUGUGACAAGGGACUGUGUGAUCUUUAUUCUCUGUCACGCUGUGACAAGAGACUGGGUCUUUAGCCCCCACUCCUCCAGUUGUCAAAGAGAAAGUGAAAAGGUCAUGGUCUAGUCCAGUCUGUCUACAUUCAGGUACUGAGGUAGCUGAGCACCAUGGACAACAUCUGGGAUACCGUUGAAAUGGUCCUUUUUAUUUGCUCCUCCAGUGCAUUUAAUCAGCUAAUAGUAGAAUUCAAGUUGAAAUUCAAAGGACAACAAUAGUAUGAUUCUGUACUCUAGGUUGGUUAAAUAUAGUCCAUCUGUUGAGAUGAUUCUGUACUCUAGGUUGGUUAAAUAUAGUCCAUCUGUUGAGAUGAUUCUGUACUCUAGGUUGGUUAAAUAUAGUCCAUCUGCUGAGAUGAUUCUGUACUCUAGGUUGGUUAAAUAUAGUCCAUCUGCUGAGAUGAUUCUGUACUCUAGGUUGGUUAAAUGUAGUCCAUCUGCUGAGAUGAUUCUGUACUCUAGGUUGGUUAAAUGAAGUUCAGACAUGAAAAUGAUUCAUCCUUGUCAAAUAAAAUGGCAUUCAAUUCAUAUUUAGUUUGCAUUUCUUUUUGUAGGUUUUUCAGUGCUUGAAAACCACUAGACCCUGACCUAUUCCCAUUAAAAGCCCAAGUCAUUAUUGCCUGGAUAGGUUCAUUCAUGGCAAACCUGUAGCUAUAGCAACAGAAUAUUCUUUUUACAAAUGGUACUGAAUCAAAGAGACGACGUUCCAUUAGUCAUUCUCUUUAAGAGAAACUGGGUGACCAAAGGUCUACCAUGACGACAAAUAAAAUAUAUUCAGUUAUGAAUAUAAGAGUCCCAGCUGAUGACAAACCCUUUUCAGGUUCUUAUUUUUGAUUGGGAACACAAUUACAAUUAGGUUCAUUUUCUGGCACAAAGAACCUCUGCUGCUGCUGCUCCUUCACUGAGACUGACAAUUCAUUUCUAAAGUCUCCUACUUGGAAAACGUUACCUGAAAAUCAUCAAUGUUUGUGUGUAUAUAUAUACAGUGGGGAGAACAAGUAGCUUUUCUUUUUGUAGGUUUACACUGACGA